UUACCGGAGUACUAUGAAUACUGUAAAUUUAAAACUCAAAGAACUUGGCGGUGUUUUAGACCACUCAGGGGAACCUGUCUCGUAAUCGACAAUCCACGUUGUACCUGACCUUUCUUUGUUUUCAGUUUGUAUACCGUUGUCGUCAGGUAACUUUUUAGAAUGUAGAAGUUGGCUGGAAAAAUAAAUAAUUUAGUACGUCAAAUCAAGGUGCAGCUAACAGAAAGGGGAGGAUGGGUUACAAUUAUUUAUUUAUAAUUACGGAUUAUUAUGUUAAAGCGUAAGGAUAAGAAGGAGGACUUGAAAGUAAAUUAAAUUUAUAAGAAUAAAUUUGAAUAAGGCUCUGAAACGUGU
rnacentral:rRNA from 1 species